rnacentral:rRNA from 1 species
GACGAACGCUGGCGGCGUGCUUAACACAUGCAAGUCGAACGGAAAGGCCCUGCUUUUGUGGGGUGCUCGAGUGGCGAACGGGUGAGUAACACGUGAGUAACCUGCCCUUGACUUUGGGAUAACUUCAGGAAACUGGGGCUAAUACCGGAUAGGAGCUCCUGCUGCAUGUUGGGGGUUGGAAAGUUUCGGCGGUUGGGGAUGGACUCGCGGCUUAUCCGCUUGUUGGUGGGGUAGUGGCUUACCAAGGCUUUGACGGGUAGCCGGCCUGAUAGGGGUACCGGCAAAAUGGGAAGGGAGAUAGGGCCAAAAUGCUAACGGAAGGAAGAGGGGGGAAAAAUGGAACAAGGGCGGAAGCCUGAUGCAGCAACGCCGCGUGCGGGAUGACGGCCUUCGGGUUGUAAACCGCUUUCGCCUGUGACGAAGCGUGAGUGACGGUAAUGGGUAAAGAAGCACCGGCUAACUACGUG